GAUGAACGCUGGCGGCGUGCCUAAUACAUGCAAGUCGAGCGAACAGACGAGGAGCUUGCUCCUCUGACGUGAGCGGCGGACGGGUGAGUAACACGAGGAUAACCUACCUAUAAGACUGGGAUAACUUCGGGACACCGGAUCUAAUACCGGAUAAUAUAUUGAACCGCAUGGUUCAUUGGUGAAAGACGGUUUUGCUGUCCCUUCUAGAUGGAUCCGCGCCGCAUUAGCUAGUUGGUAAGGUAACGGCUUUCCAAGGCAACGCUGCGUAGCCGACCUGUGAGUGUGUUCAGCCACACUGGAACUGAGACACGGUCCAGACGCCUACGGGAAGCAGCAGGGGUGUAUCGUGCGCAAUGGGCGAAAGCGUGAUUGAGCGAGGUCGCGUGUUGGAUGAAGGUCUUCUGAUCGUAAAGCACUGUGACUUGGGAAGAACAAAUGUUGAAGUAACUGUGCAUGUCUUGACGUUACCUAGUGAGUAAGCCACGGCUAACUUCGUG
rnacentral:rRNA from 1 species